AGAACGUGGCAGUAAUAUGAGGGUAUGAACCGCUGGUGAAGACUUGAAGAAUAAUCUACGAUGAAACUAUCUACGAUCAUGUUUUCCGUCAGCGCACCCUCGAUUAGAACCAAAUCUCCGUCUCUCACUUCCGCUUCAUUUGGCUCCCUUUGCUGCUCUUCUUCUCCUUCACUGCAAACCAAAUCGCGUAAUUUUAUUCCCUUGAAGAACGUUGCGCUUCCUUGGAAUUCAAUUUCCACAGGAAAACGACGAUACCUCUGUUCCGUCUCUGCUUCUAAAUCGGAAAAUGGAUUCAUCGGAUCCUCUUUUCAGGGAGAUGAAUCAUUUUUCAGGAGUGUAUUGGCUGGUAUGGAAACGGUUUAUUUGAACAGGAACCCCACGGCGAAAGCUGUUUUGGAGCUGGUUCAGUCAGCUGACGGCGAACCAAUCUGCUAUGAUCAUUUUGCUUUCAGGACAUUUGGGGUGAAUGGUCAUGGGAUUGAUUCCAUGGCAAGCCUUUUCCUGGAUUAUGGUUAUACACAGAAGGGGGAACUGAGAUUUCCUGCCAAAAAAUUGAGAGCUCUGUGGUUUUCGCCUCCCAGUAUUCCACAUUCUAAUACUGGCAGUGGUGUUAAUGGGCCUUUGCCCAGAAUUUUCAUUUCGGAGCUUCUUGUUGAUCAGAUAAGCCCACAAGCUCAAGAAAUCAUUAAAAAAUAUGUUGAAGUAUCUGCGAGCGGAUAUAAACAUGCAGCUCUUGCAAGUACUCUAGGCUUUCUGACAUGGAACAAGCCCUUAUAUUCUGAAUUUGAGCAAUUAGCAAGGGAGAGUGAAUAUGCUGCCUGGACACUUGUCAAUGGUUAUGCACUAAACCAUGUUACCAUUUCCACUCAUCGGCUGAAAUCUCAGUUGAGAAGUAUCAAUUGCCUUGAUCAAUUUAUUGAAGAUAAUGGGUUCAAAUUAAAUUCUGAAGGGGGCAUUCUGAAAGUGAGUCCUGAUGGCCUUUUGCUGCAAAGUUCAACUGUGGCUGAUUCAAUCACUUUCAAAUUUUCUGAUGGUGUCACUGAAUCAGUUCCUUGUUCAUAUAUCGAGUUUGCUGAACGCCUUGUGCUGCCACAGUAUAAAAAUCUACCAGAACAAGAGGUUAGGGAAUUCCACAGGCGAGAUGGGUUUGAGGUUGGGAAUGCUGAUAAGAUCUUUGAGAGCACAUCCAAAGAGCAAUUGACUAGGAGGGCUGCAUAAGAUACAUUACAUAUGUGAAGGAGCAAGUGCAAUUUGGUACCUUAAGUUCGAGGUGUCAAGAAGUGAUCUUCAAAGCCAAGAUGCUAAUAUAAAUAAAUAUGUAUUUAACAUGUAAAUAAAUUUGAUUCACUUAAUAAGAAUAUGCACUUGAACGUAUAACAGAGUGCCAG
rnacentral:misc_RNA from 1 species